rnacentral:rRNA from 1 species
CCAAUAGCGUAUAUUAAAGUUGUUGCAGUUAAAAAGCUCGUAGUUGAAUUUCGGGGUUAGUAGGUUGGUCAUGCCUCUGGUAUGUACUGGUCUCACUGAUUCCUCCUUCCUGAUGAACCUUAAUGCCAUUAAUUUGGUGUUUUGGGGAAUUUGGACUGUUACUUUGAAAAAAUUAGAGUGUUUAAAGCAAGCUAACGCUUGAAUACAUUAGCAUGGAAUAAUGAAAUAGGACGUUCGAUCCUAUUUUGUUGGUUUCUAGGAUUGACGUAAUGAUUAAUAGGGUUAGUUGGGAGCAUUAGUAUUCAAUUGUCAGAGGUGAAAUUCUUGGAUUUAUUGAAGACUAACUACUGCGAAAGCAUUUGCCAAGGAUGUUUUCAUUAAUCAAGAACGAAAGUUAGGGGAUCGAAGACGAUCAGAUACCGUCGUAGUCUUAACCAUAAACUAUGCCGACUAGGGAUCGGAUGAUGUUAAUUUUUUAAUGACUCAUUCGGCGCCUUACG